UUCUAGUGUCCUAAAUCUCAGCCACCACCUCACACCUAUCACAUUCGGUCUUCUUCAUCCACCGGCUUCUCCUCCUCCUUCUCCGGCUUCUUCUUCUUCUCCCAAAUGUGGUGGUGCCGUUGAUUAAAUGAUCAUCGUAGGAGAAACUCCUUUGGUGGAGAUUGUAAGAUUUCGAACAGAGUUUUUCCCCCUUGUAUACACUCAAGGUCAGCCGCUUAUUGGAUUUGAUGGUUCAUAGUUUGUACACCCGCAAAGAAGUGUUUCUUCGCGAGCUUGUAAGGAGACAACAUCUCCCAUGUCGUUGAACACCUGGCGGGCCAGAUGCAGAGUGCAACACUUAGAGUAAAUUGAUGAAGGCUUAGCGAUGAGGAGGGAACGAAACAGAGGGGAAAGGAGGGUUGCCAGAGUUGUCAAUUGGAGCACCGUGGUCCGUGGAUGAUUUGAGUACAUAACGCGUUGGCAACAGGGAAGGAACAUUAUAAAAAAAUAAAUUAUAGCGACGGCUAACUGCCAUCAUCAAUAAUUAUUUAAUUAUUAUUAAAAAUUUAUUAAAAAUAAUCUUAUUACUAAUUAUCAUUA